GGGUUGUGAGGUUAAGCGACUAAGCGUACACGGUGGAUGCCCUGGCAGUCAGAGGCGAUGAAGGACGUGCUAAUCUGCGAUAAGCGUCGGUAAGGUGAUAUGAACCGUUAUAACCGGCGAUCUCCGAAUGGGGAAACCCAGUGUGUUUCGACACACUAUCAUUAACUGAAUCCAUAGGUUAAUGAGGCGAACCGGGGGAACUGAAACAUCUAAGUACCCCGAGGAAAAGAAAUCAACCGAGAUUCCCCCAGUAGCGGCGAGCGAACGGGGAGGAGCCCAGAGCCUGAAUCAGUGUGUGUGUUAGUGGAAGCGUCUGGAAAGGCGCGCGAUACAGGGUGACAGCCCCGUACACAAAAAUGCACAUGCUGUGAGCUCGAUGAGUAGGGCGGGACACGUGGUAUCCUGUCUGAAUAUGGGGGGACCAUCCUCCAAGGCUAAAUACUCCUGACUGACCGAUAGUGAACCAGUACCGUGAGGGAAAGGCGAAAAGAACCCCGGCGAGGGGAGUGAAAAAGAACCUGAAACCGUGUACGUACAAGCAGUGGGAGCCUCUUUAUGGGGUGACUGCGUACCUUUUGUAUAAUGGGUCAGCGACUUAUAUUCUGUAGCAAGGUUAACCGAAUAGGGGAGCCGAAGGGAAACCGAGUCUUAACUGGGCGUUAAGUUGCAGGGUAUAGACCCGAAACCCGGUGAUCUAGCCAUGGGCAGGUUGAAGGUUGGGUAACACUAACUGGAGGACCGAACCGACUAAUGUUGAAAAAUUAGCGGAUGACUUGUGGCUGGGGGUGAAAGGCCAAUCAAACCGGGAGAUAGCUGGUUCUCCCCGAAAGCUAUUUAGGUAGCGCCUCGUGAAUUCAUCUCCGGGGGUAGAGCACUGUUUCGGCAAGGGGGUCAUCCCGACUUACCAACCCGAUGCAAACUGCGAAUACCGGAGAAUGUUAUCACGGGAGACACACGGCGGGUGCUAACGUCCGUCGUGAAGAGGGAAACAACCCAGACCGCCAGCUAAGGUCCCAAAGUCAUGGUUAAGUGGGAAACGAUGUGGGAAGGCCCAGACAGCCAGGAUGUUGGCUUAGAAGCAGCCAUCAUUUAAAGAAAGCGUAAUAGCUCACUGGUCGAGUCGGCCUGCGCGGAAGAUGUAACGGGGCUAAACCAUGCACCGAAGCUGCGGCAGCGACGCUUAUGCGUUGUUGGGUAGGGGAGCGUUCUGUAAGCCUGUGAAGGUGUGCUGUGAGGCAUGCUGGAGGUAUCAGAAGUGCGAAUGCUGACAUAAGUAACGAUAAAGCGGGUGAAAAGCCCGCUCGCCGGAAGACCAAGGGUUCCUGUCCAACGUUAAUCGGGGCAGGGUGAGUCGACCCCUAAGGCGAGGCCGAAAGGCGUAGUCGAUGGGAAACAGGUUAAUAUUCCUGUACUUGGUGUUACUGCGAAGGGGGGACGGAGAAGGCUAUGUUGGCCGGGCGACGGUUGUCCCGGUUUAAGCGUGUAGGCUGGUUUUCCAGGCAAAUCCGGAAAAUCAAGGCUGAGGCGUGAUGACGAGGCACUACGGUGCUGAAGCAACAAAUGCCCUGCUUCCAGGAAAAGCCUCUAAGCAUCAGGUAACAUCAAAUCGUACCCCAAACCGACACAGGUGGUCAGGUAGAGAAUACCAAGGCGCUUGAGAGAACUCGGGUGAAGGAACUAGGCAAAAUGGUGCCGUAACUUCGGGAGAAGGCACGCUGAUAUGUAGGUGAAGUCCCUCGCGGAUGGAGCUGAAAUCAGUCGAAGAUACCAGCUGGCUGCAACUGUUUAUUAAAAACACAGCACUGUGCAAACACGAAAGUGGACGUAUACGGUGUGACGCCUGCCCGGUGCCGGAAGGUUAAUUGAUGGGGUUAGCGGUAACGCGAAGCUCUUGAUCGAAGCCCCGGUAAACGGCGGCCGUAACUAUAACGGUCCUAAGGUAGCGAAAUUCCUUGUCGGGUAAGUUCCGACCUGCACGAAUGGCGUAAUGAUGGCCAGGCUGUCUCCACCCGAGACUCAGUGAAAUUGAACUCGCUGUGAAGAUGCAGUGUACCCGCGGCAAGACGGAAAGACCCCGUGAACCUUUACUAUAGCUUGACACUGAACAUUGAGCCUUGAUGUGUAGGAUAGGUGGGAGGCUUUGAAGUGUGGACGCCAGUCUGCAUGGAGCCGACCUUGAAAUACCACCCUUUAAUGUUUGAUGUUCUAACGUUGACCCGUGAUCCGGGUUGCGGACAGUGUCUGGUGGGUAGUUUGACUGGGGCGGUCUCCUCCUAAAGAGUAACGGAGGAGCACGAAGGUUGGCUAAUCCUGGUCGGACAUCAGGAGGUUAGUGCAAUGGCAUAAGCCAGCUUGACUGCGAGCGUGACGGCGCGAGCAGGUGCGAAAGCAGGUCAUAGUGAUCCGGUGGUUCUGAAUGGAAGGGCCAUCGCUCAACGGAUAAAAGGUACUCCGGGGAUAACAGGCUGAUACCGCCCAAGAGUUCAUAUCGACGGCGGUGUUUGGCACCUCGAUGUCGGCUCAUCACAUCCUGGGGCUGAAGUAGGUCCCAAGGGUAUGGCUGUUCGCCAUUUAAAGUGGUACGCGAGCUGGGUUUAGAACGUCGUGAGACAGUUCGGUCCCUAUCUGCCGUGGGCGCUGGAGAACUGAGGGGGGCUGCUCCUAGUACGAGAGGACCGGAGUGGACGCAUCACUGGUGUUCGGGUUGUCAUGCCAAUGGCACUGCCCGGUAGCUAAAUGCGGAAGAGAUAAGUGCUGAAAGCAUCUAAGCACGAAACUUGCCCCGAGAUGAGUUCUCCCUGACCCUUUAAGGGUCCUGAAGGAACGUUGAAGACGACGACGUUGAUAGGCCGGGUGUGUAAGCGCAGCGAUGCGUUGAGCUAACCGGUACUAAUGAACCGUGAGGCUUAACCUUACAACGCCGAAG
rnacentral:rRNA from 1 species